UAAAACGCGAUGAUGGAGUUACGGUCAUUACAGAUAGGUUUACAGAGAGCCGGCACGCAGGUGAGAGCCGGAACCGAAGGGUAAUGAAGCGGCCUCGCUCCGGAGCGGAAUCCCCUAAGGCGAAAGCUGUUAAGGGAUUACGGCUGGCCCCGUUACAGGCGCCAAUGAGCGGCCGCGGAUAUUUCGCGGCAAUCAGGGUGGUACCGCGAUGAUUUGUAUAUUCGUCCCUGAG
rnacentral:ncRNA from 1 species